CCUACGGGAGGCUGCAGUGAGGAAUAUUGGUCAAUGGGCGAGAGCCUGAACCAGCCAAGUCGCGUGAGGGAGUACUGCCCUAUGGGCUGUAAACCUCUUUUGUCGGGGAGCAAAAGCCGGACGUGUCCGGCUGUGAGAGUACCCGCAGAAAAAGCAUCGGCAUACUCCGUGCCAGCAGCCGCGGUAAUACGGGGGAUGCUAGCGUUAUCCGGAUUUAUUGGGGUUAAAGGGUGCGCCGGCGGAUUUUUAAGUCAGCGGUCAAAUCGUGGGGCUCAACCCCAUCCAGCCGUUGAAACUGGGGAUCUAGAGUGUGCGAGGUAGGCGGAAUUCGUGGUGUAGCGGUGAAAUGCAUAGAUAUCACGCAGAACCCCGAUUGCGAAGGCAGCAUACCGGUGCACAACUGACGCUCAGGCACGAAAGCGUGGGUAUCGAACAGGAUUAGAUACCCGAGUAGUC
rnacentral:rRNA from 1 species